rnacentral:rRNA from 1 species
CCUACGGGUGGCAGCAGUAGGGAAUCUUCCACAAUGGGCGAAAGCCUGAUGGAGCAACGCCGCGUGGGUGAAGAAGGUCUUCGGAUCGUAAAACCCUGUUGAUAGAGAAGAAAGUGCGUGAGAGUAACUGUUCACGUUUCGACGGUAUCUAACAAGAAAGCCACGGCUAACUACGUGCCAGCAGCCGCGGUAAUACGUAGGUGGCAAGCGUUAUCCAGAUUUAUUGGGCGUAAAGGGAACGCAGGCGGUCUUUUAAGUCUGAUGGGAAAGCCUUCGGCUUAACCGGAGUAGUGCAUUGAAAACUGGGAGACUUGAGUGCAGAAGAGGAGAGUGGAACUCCAUGUGUAGCGGUGAAAUGCGUAGAUAUAUGGAAGAACACCAGUGGCGAAAGCGGCUCUCUGGUCUGUAACUGACGCUGAGGUUCGAAAGCGUGGGUAGCAAACAGGAUUAGAUACCCCAGUAGUC